rnacentral:rRNA from 1 species
UACGGAGGGUGCAAGCGUUGUCCGGAAUCAUUGGGCGUAAAGAGCUCGUAGGCGGUUCAGUAAGUCGGGUGUGAAAUCUCCGUGCUCAACACGGAGCGGCCACCUGAUACUGCUGUGACUCGAGUCCGGUAGGGGAGUGUGGAAUUCCCGGUGUAGCGGUGAAAUGCGCAGAUAUCGGGAGGAACACCAGUAGCGAAGGCGGCACUCUGGGCCGUGACUGACGCUGAGGAGCGAAAGCGUGGGUAGCAAACAGG